GCAUAUGUGGCUGAGUUUUUAAGGCGACUGACUAGAAAUCAGUUUCCCUCUGGGAGCGUAGGUUCGAAUUCUACGAUCUGCG
rnacentral:tRNA from 1 species